GAAUACGCCACGGCCUUCAGCCGGCAUCUCCAGCCCAAGGGAUCCAACCGAGUGGAUCCGGGCUCGAGUACCUCAAGUUUUACCCCGGCACUAUGAGGUCGUCUAGUUUUGGUAGCUUUUCUAACGGAAUAUGUUUCUGUGAAGCACGCAAGCUGCACUUUCAAGCCUUUUGGUUGGCUUUGGAGAAGGUGCUCUGGAGCCUGAUCUGCUACUGCGACUUGGGACUGGCACUGUCCUCGGCCACGAGAGGAACUUGUCCAUCUUCCACGGAAGCCAAUCUUUCUCUCCGUGGUACCUAGUCAGUCAAGUCGGUGAAGUAAAUCACUGGUGUUGUAACUUUCGGAGCUGGAACAGCCUUUACGUGCCGGGACGUGUAGUCAAGUGAGCAUCGCAAGCUCGAUAUCUCUUCGGCGUGGCAAAAUGGCAAAGUUAAGCUAGUUGGCUCGCAGUAAUUGAUUUAAUUCCAGCAUGCGGAACACAAAAGGCAAAAGUAAUCUUCUUUAUCAACUGCAAAAGCUUACGCA